rnacentral:rRNA from 1 species
UUCCAGACUCCUACGGGAGGCAGCAGUGGGGAAUAUUGCACAAUGGGGGAAACCCUGAUGCAGCAACGCCGCGUGGGUGAAGGAGCGUUUCGGCGCGUAAAGCCCUGUCAGCGGGGAAGAAGAAAGACGGUACCCGACCAAGAGGCCCCGACUAACUACGUGCCAGCAGCCGCGGUAAUACGUAGGGGGCAAGCGUUAUCCGGAUUUACUGGGUGUAAAGGGAGCGUAGACGGCAGUGCAAGUCUGGAGUGAAAGGCGGGGGCUCAACCCCCGGACUGCUCUGGAAACUGUACGGCUGGAGUGCAGGAGAGGUAAGUGGAAUUCCUAGUGUAGCGGUGAAAUGCGUAGAUAUUAGGAGGAACACCAGUGGCGAAGGCGGCUUACUGGACUGUAACUGACGUUGAGGCUCGAAAGCGUGGGGAGCAAACAGGAUUAGAUACCCCUGUA